CUCCUGCUCAAUGGUACGCUAAAUAGCCGCAGUACUCUGACUGUGCAAAGGUAGCAUAAUCAGUUGGCCUCUAAUUAAGGUCUGGAAUGAAUGGAUUAUUGGGUGUAUUCUGUCUUAAUAGGUUAAUAUAAUUUACUUAUUAAGUGUAAAUACUUAAAUUUAAAUAAUAGACGAUAAGACCCUAGAAAUUUUUUAUAAUAGAAUUAUAUUUAUUACUAUUUUGCUGGGGCGGCAGGAUAACACAUAACUUAUCUACACAAAUAUAACGCUAACUAAAUAAAUAUAAUUACUCUAGGGAUAACAGCAUAAUUUAUAAUAGUUUGUGACCUCGAUGUUGGAUUAAGGUUUAUAUUGUUUAGAAGACAAAUAUAUUCGCUCUGUUCGAGCAAUAAUUCUU
rnacentral:rRNA from 1 species